AUGCAUGUGUCAGUACAGGCCGCUUCUAAGGCAAAACCGCGAAUGGCUCAUUAAACCAGUUAUGAUCCACUAGAUGGAAAACCCAUUACUCGGAUAACCCUGGUAAUUCUAGAGCUAAUACGUGCUACAUGCUCCGACCGAGAGGGAGGAGUGCUUUUAUUAGAUGAAAACCAAUCGGACCUCGGUCCGUCUCACGAGAACGUGACGAUUCUGAAUAACUUUGUGCAGAGGGCACGGUCUCCGCACCGGCCCCGUGUCUUUCGAGUUUCUGCUUUAUCAUGCUGUGGAUUGUAGGCCAUACGCCUACAGUGGCUGUAACGGAUGACGGAGAAUCAGGGUUCGAUUCCGGAGAGGGAGCCUGAGAAACGGCUACCACAUCCAAGGAG
rnacentral:rRNA from 1 species